rnacentral:lncRNA from 1 species
AACCACAAAACAGUGCGCCUUAGUUGAACAUGCCGUGGAGAUUUAAUUUUUUGGCAAUAAUGUUUUGUUCUUCUUUGAGGAUGAUCCGAAGUAGUAGUUUUUGUUACCAUCUCCUGCGUGUCUUUGACAGUAAGGAAGCAUUUGUGUGGCUGCCUCCGGAUGGAUGAAUGAGUGACCCUGAUAAAGCUCUAUGGGCCAUUUUGAACUGUUAGAACAAACCUGAUCUUUUCACCUUCAGUGUUACCCAUUUUUGUGAAAGUUUUUUUAUAUGUGUGUACAAUUCACCCAUAUAAACAACGUUUAUAUGUGCCACAUUUUGUCUUGUGGAGCUGUCAAAAACGGCCUGGAGAGAGAGUCGUGAUCGAGACAGAUUAGGUUUAUCAGCUCACCUUGAAUUCUGAGGAGGGUCAGCCCUAGUCCUGUAGCUUGUAUUCUUACUCAAAUCCUUCUAUAAUAGCUGGGUUUGGUAAUAAAAGUUCAGGGAGCAACUAAGAAUACCGUUGCCUUCUCUUUCUGUCCGAAGUCUCCAGAGCAAGUAUGAUGAGAAACUCUUCCACAAUUUCUUGAAAAGUAAGUAUUUCUGAGGUAUUUAAAUAAAGGAAAUUUUGCUGACUCACUUUUUGCAAUAGAAAUAGCUCUUGAGGUGGGAUUUGGCUGAGGAAAUGUGAUCAUAUGGUUGACCUUGGGGGAGAUGUUGAGUCACAUUUGAACAAUACAUGAAAAAGGGAAAGGAGAAAACAAACAGCCACCAAGGCCUGUUACGUUUUUGCAAUAUUGCAUCCUGUGUAUGAAGAUGCUAAUCUGGCCCUUCUAAAAUCGCUGGUAUUAGCAAGGAUGAAAAAAAGAUAAUCCACAUUUUGGAUAUGAUGACAUAAACCUGACUUAAAAAUGGAAGACGUUACUCAUGUAAAGAUGGAAGAUAUUACAUCAUCUUCAAAGAAUGGGAAGACAUUUUAGUAAAACUUUCAAGAUUUCUAAAGAGCAUUCCAGUAAGGAGCAAUGACCAUUCCUAUCAGCAUGAUUAAAUCAAAGCAACUUUUUUAUUUAAGGGACGAAGUUAUUAAUGGAUUGCACUAGUCACCUGGAAAAUUGCUGCUGAACUUUCAUCCAUUACACUAUGUGGCCUAUCUUUUCUGAGAGAAAACUGAAGUAUAAAUCUUUUUGAAAGAUUAAACAUGUUGUUAGCAAUUUUGUUGAUCUGUUAUGGUCUCUGAAGCUUUGGGGAUAGUUCAGUGCAAAAUAAAUACCAGCAAACUCAUCACUUCAAAAUGUAUUAAUAUUUAUAAUAAUGUUUAAAACUACCUUUCAGUAGUGCUUUCUACUCUGCUAAAGACCUGUAAAUAUCCCUCUCUGUACUGACUAGAAACUUGUUGGUAUUUGCUUCUGCAAGUAGCUCAGGCUUUUGUAUCUUCUUUUUUUUAAUACCCAAAAUAAGAUUCUUCAUAGUCUGGAUUUUAAAACCAUGGAUACUCUGCUUCAUGAAAAUUGGCCCACUCUUACAUGUCUCACGCUAAGCAUGCUUGAAGAGGUCUGCCUGUUUUAGUGCAAUGUAACUGCUAAGAUAACUGGCUCAAAAUCUGUUAUUGUACAUCUAUGAACUUGGGAAUCACAAGCUUAUAUAAGUUGAAGGGAAGUGGGAUAGGAAAGGAGACUUUCUUGGGACAGAAAAUCAGUAACAUUUAUAGAGCAAGAUAAGAAACACUGACUUGGAAGCUUUGACUUCAAAAAAUAGGUAGUUUUUCUAGCUUUUCAGUGGUAUGAGACUUCAGCAUUUGUCUCUGUAUCUGCUUGGGAGGUGUUUAAUAAAAAAAAAAAAGCAAACCAUUUAUCUUGAUGAAAGAGUAGUUUAUUGUGGUUUAGUUUGAACCUCUCAUUUUACUAAUUUUCACUGAUUUAUAAACAGUGACAGCCUGUAAAUCAAAGGCAGAGUAUCCAUACAAACUUUUAUUCCUAUUUAAAAACAGUAAAAAAUAAAAAAUCGUAUUUUUGGUCAUAUUGUUGAAAUCCUUAUACAUAGCAAGUCUGAACUGUUAAAGAAAGUAGAUUCCAGGAGUGAAAUAAUUUAAAA